GCCCGUCCACACCAUGAGAGUUGGGAAUACCCGAAGCCUGUGAGCUAACAUUAAGAGGCAGCAGUCGAAGGUAGAAUCAAUGAUUGGGGUGAAGUCGUAACAAGGUAUC
rnacentral:rRNA from 1 species